rnacentral:rRNA from 1 species
UACGAAGGGGGCUAGCGUUGCUCGGAAUCACUGGGCGUAAAGGGUGCGUAGGCGGAUUGUUAAGUCAGGGGUGAAAUCCUGGAGCUCAACUCCAGAACUGCCUUUGAUACUGGCGAUCUUGAGUCUGGGAGAGGUGAGUGGAACUGCGAGUGUAGAGGUGAAAUUCGUAGAUAUUCGCAAGAACACCAGUGGCGAAGGCGGCUCACUGGCCCGGUACUGACGCUGAGGUGCGAAAGCGUGGGGAGCAAACAGG